AACUGCUUCGAAACUGCUAACACACUUGGUUGGAAGGUGGAAGGACGGUGAGGUCAUUCAACGUUUAGACAGGUAGUUGGCUGGUUCACCGCUACGCGCACAAGCUACACGCUCCUCUGUUACUUAUUAACGGAUUAGCGUAAAUGGUGCGCGUAUUUCAGGAACCAAGUGUUAAUUUGCAAUUCUAACGACGAUCGUACUUGAACGGAAAUGACCUUCGCGCGACGAAUGGCUUGUAGCGUUAAAAACACCGAUCCUCUGGAAGUGCUUUUUCGUUUCGUUAUCUGGUAAGUUUGAAUAAAUAACAGCGUCGACGAAACAAUUGACUCUGGAGAUCUGCAAGUGCACGCGCGAUGAAACUGACUUAUAGGUAAAUUACAGCGAGUUAUCUUGUUCCGUAGGUCUAGGUGCACGUUGUCGAGGCAUUUGCACGAACGACCUUCGUGCCCCCACCUGGGCACCGGGCGAACACCUUGGUUUACCAUGGUUCUUCGUGGAACCCUUCUCUCGGGUUCCGUCUGUUUAUUCUCUUUUUCGUGGCAGAUCAAGAACGGACAGUCGUCAGAAAUCGUACGAACCUCGGCACGUUUCACUCGAUCGUUUACACGCAACUCUGUACAUCUUGAUAAGCGUCCACGCGACACGAUUGAUCAUUAUGCACGCUGACUGCGAUUUAUGUGCCGCUCGGUGUUAACGGUAUUGCUUAAAGUAGUCUACGCUCGUUGACAAUGAAAUACCUAGUUGAAAACGACUCGCCUACUUCCGUGUUCUCAGAGACGUGCGCGUAAUCCUGGCGCUUUGCGCGAUCCUUUACGCGAGUUUAUUGACCCCCUUACUUGCUAGACUGGACUCCGCCGUGACUCAUGAAUUUCUUUGAGUGAAAAAAUAUAAUUUGUCGCUUCUCUGAACACGGUUAUAUUGUAAAGAUUCUAACAGGCAUGGGAAACGAAGAACUGUUUCAAGAGCAAGGCGAUAUCGUUAAACGAUGUCACUGGUGCGUACAUCAUACCAAGAGGCGAAGGUUGCGCCCAGCCCUUGGACUUCUUCCAACCUGGCAAUCGUUUCUACAUGCGACUGUUUAGCUUCGAUGCGCAUCUCGGGAAGCAACAGUCGGUAAUUACUUGGUACAACGAGAAACGUUGCCAAUUAGACCGUUUCAUUGUUAGUUGCUUUCGUUCGCUUUGUAUCUGCGGCACUUUGCUGCAUUUCAUCCCGAAUUUUGUUAUUUCACAAGAAAAACGUAUCCGCUGCGACAAAGGAACGGAAACGCAUAAGAAGUUGGUACUUUAGCCACGUUUAAAUCCACGUUUCCUGAACCGUGGCGUUUCUUGGAACGUAGCAGGAGACAGCGCGGGUGUUGCAUUCGUGUUGCGACAGGAUGCGGAAAAUGAAUUUGUUGGACACGUACGACACGGUUACGGUGACGAACGGCUCGGAAUGCCGCUUGCAAAACCUGAAUCUUUCACUACGAUGCAUCUGGCGAUUUCAAUGCAACAUCACCGAUGGAGAUAUCGUAAAAAUUCGAUUGAUAUGCUCGUCGAGAUGAAAUAAUCGCGAACAUAUGUUUCGUACAAACUGGAUUCAUUUCUUUCGGGUUGAUUUGAUAAGUUGAUUAAUCGAUUAUAACGAUUUCGCGAAGCAAACCUCGCUAUACACGGUCUUGUAAGAAUCAAGGUACGAAGUGUGAUCGAAGUGAAAGUGAAACUGAGGUCCUCCACGUAACACUUCGGAUUCAGGUAUCCGCGAACUUUCAGCCUUAAUAAAAAUCUAAUUAAAAUAUAUAAAUUUGAUAACUGUAAUUUGCUGAUCAUUUAGAAUUUAAAAAUACAAAAUAAAUUUAGAUUGAUGAGA